CACAGGUUUGGUCCUGGCUUUUCUAUCAAUUCUAGCCGAGCUUAUACAUGCAAGUCUCCGCCCCCCAGUGAGAAUGCCCCCCCCGUCUUCCCCGCCGAAGACAAGGAGCCGGCAUCAGGCACAACCACCCUUAGCCCACGACGCCUUGCUUAGCCACACCCCCAAGGGGCUCCAGCAGUAACAAACAUUAGGCCAUAAGUGAAAACUUGACCUAGCCACGGUUAUUCGGGCCGGUAAAACUCGUGCCAGCCACCGCGGUUAUACGAGAGACCCAAACUGAUAGAUCACGGCGUAAAGCGUGGUUAAAGCACAAACAAAAUAAAGCCAAACACUUCCACAGUCGUUAUACACAACCGAAAGUUAGAAGACCAGCUACGAAAGUGGCUUUAAACACUUGACCCCACGAAAGCUAAGGCACAAACUGGGAUUAGAUACCCCACUAUGCUUAGCCCUAAACAUAAAUAGCACCCCACCUCCGCUAUUCGCCCGGGAACUACUAGCCCCAGCUUUAAACCCAAAGGACUUGGCGGUGCUUAAAAUCCAACUAGAGGAGCCUGUUCUAUAAUCGAUAACCCCCGCUCAACCUCACCUUCCCUUGCCCUCAGUCUAUAUACCGCCGUCGUCAGCUUACCCUUUGAGGAACUUAAAGUAAGCCUAAUUGGCACAGCCCAAAACGCCAGGUCAAGGUGUAGCAUACGAGAAGGAAAGAAAUGGGCUACAUUCUCUAACACUAGCAGACACGAAUUAUGCGUUGAAACCCGCACAUGAAGCAGGAUUUAGAAGUAAGCAGAAAAUAGAGCGUUCUACUGAAACCGGCCCUUAAGCGCGCACACACCGCCCGUCACUCUCCCCAACCCACCCAAAUAACAUACCUAAUACAUUACUCCACCAAAGGGGAGGCAAGUCGUAACAUGGUAAGUGUACCGGAAGGUGCACUUGGAAAAU
rnacentral:ncRNA from 1 species